UGCGUAGGGGGCAAGCGUUGUCCGGAUUUAUUGGGCGUAAAGAGCGUGUAGGCGGCCCGACAGGUCCGUUGUGAAAACUGGAGGCUCAACCUCCAGCUGUCGACGGAAACCGUGUGGCUAGAGUCCGGAAGAGGAGAGUGGAAUUCCUGGUGUAGCGGUGAAAUGCGCAGAUAUCAGGAAGAACACCAAUGGCGAAGGCAGCUCUCUGGGACGGUACUGACGCUGAGACGCGAAAGCGUGGGGAGCGAACAGG
rnacentral:rRNA from 1 species